AUUGAACGCUGGCGGCAGGCCUAACACAUGCAAGUCGAGCGGAGCGGCGGACGGGUGAGUAAGUCAUAGGAAUCUGCCUGGCAGUGGGGGAUAGCGUCCGGAAACGGGCGCUAAUAUCGCAUCCUAUGAGAUGAGGCUAGGUCGGAUGCGCUCGUUGGUGGGGUAAAGGCCUACCAAGGCGACGAUCCGUAACUGGUCUGAGCGGAUGAUCAGUCACACUGGAACUGAGACACGGUCCAGACUCCUACGGGAGGCAGCAGUGGGGAAUAUUGGACAAUGGGCGAAAGCCUGAUCCAGCCAUGCCGCGGGUGUGAAGAAGGUCUUCGGAUUGUAAAGCACUUUAAGUUGGGAGGCGUUACCAACAGAAUAAGCACCGGCUAACUUCGUGCCAGCAGCCGCGGUAAUUC
rnacentral:rRNA from 1 species